GAACGCUGGCGGCAUGCCUUACACAUGCAAGUCGAACGGCAGCACGGGAGCAAUCCUGGUGGCGAGUGGCGAACGGGUGAGUAAUACAUCGGAACGUGCCCAGUUGUGGGGGAUAGCCCGGCGAAAGCCGGAUUAAUACCGCAUACGACCUACGGGUGAAAGCGGGGGAUCGCAAGACCUCGCGCAAUUGGAGCGGCCGAUGUCAGAUUAGCUAGUUGGUGGGGUAAAAGCCUACCAAGGCGACGAUCUGUAGCUGGUCUGAGAGGACGACCAGCCACACUGGGACUGAGACACGGCCCAGACUCCUACGGGAGGCAGCAGUGGGGAAUUUUGGACAAUGGGCGCAAGCCUGAUCCAGCCAUGCCGCGUGUGGGAAGAAGGCCUUCGGGUUGUAAACCACUUUUGUCAGGGAAGAAACGGUCCAACCUAAUACGUUGGACUAAUGACGGUACCUGAAGAAUAAGCACCGGCUAACUACGUGCCAGCAGCCGCGGUAAUACGUAGGGUGCAAGCGUUAAUCGGAAUUACUGGGCGUAAAGCGUGCGCAGGCGGCUUUGCAAGACAGAUGUGAAAUCCCCGGGCUCAACCUGGGAACUGCAUUUGUGACUGCAAGGCUAGAGUACGGUAGAGGGGGAUGGAAUUCCGCGUGUAGCAGUGAAAUGCGUAGAUAUGCGGAGGAACACCGAUGGCGAAGGCAAUCCCCUGGACCUGUACUGACGCUCAUGCACGAAAGCGUGGGGAGCAAA
rnacentral:rRNA from 1 species